GAUGAACGCUGGCGGCGUGCUUAACACAUGCAAGUCGAACGAUGAAGCCCAGCUUGCUGGGUGGAUUAGUGGCGAACGGGUGAGUAACACGUGAGUAACCUGCCCUUAACUCUGGGAUAAGCCUGGGAAACUGGGUCUAAUACCGGAUAGGAGCGUCCACCGCAUGGUGGGUGUUGGAAAGAUUUAUCGGUUUUGGAUGGACUCGCGGCCUAUCAGCUUGUUGGUGAGGUAAUGGCUCACCAAGGCGACGACGGGUAGCCGGCCUGAGAGGGUGACCGGCCACACUGGGACUGAGACACGGCCCAGACUCCUACGGGAGGCAGCAGUGGGGAAUAUUGCACAAUGGGCGAAAGCCUGAUGCAGCGACGCCGCGUGAGGGAUGACGGCCUUCGGGUUGUAAACCUCUUUCAGUAGGGAAGAAGCGAAAGUGACGGUACCUGCAGAAGAAGCACCGGUUAACUACGUG
rnacentral:rRNA from 1 species